UGCUUUUGUAAUAUCACCAUCAUAAUACAUCUCAUUUUUUCCAGUAGUUCUGAUGCCUGCUCUCAGUACUUUCAGCAGAGUUUCUUCAUUCUUACACAAGUUUUUCAAAGAGUAAUUAAAAGCCUGCUUUAUUUUGUUGCAUUAGGGUUUAAAACACUUGCAAAGCAUCUAUUGGUCCAAAACUCUCAUGCCUUCAUUGCAGUAACUGCUAUAGGUUUUCCUAUUUGACAACACUGGAACAAGCAAGCAUAAUUUAAAGCUUGAAUUUCUCACUAGACAAAGAAAAGGCCUGUGUCUUGAGACAGAACAAGCAAUCGCAGAAGGGAUUACCUGUGACUUCAAGCCCUCAGUAGAAAUGUCAAAAUACACUUAGAGCAAAUUGAGCCUUGACUAAAAGCAGGUAUGUGCGCUUUGGCCACGAUGUCUCAUCGCAUCUGUUACAGGCAAUGUGUCAGCCAUGUCUCCAUCCAGCUGCUUCUGACUGUGAUGCAACAUGACACAGUUUGAUAACAAAAGGAUGUAAUACAGCAUAAUGACUCCAGGCAGGCAAUUGCGUUGUGAUGGGGUGUGCUGUCAUGUAGUAGCAGGUGACAUACCUCUUCAAUCAGUCAUGGGCUAAUCGCUAAAGCCUCCGGUUUCAGUUCACUUUGGAAAAAAAUCCUAAAGUCUUGAUGAUUAUUUUCCUCUGAACAUUUCAACAUUGCAUCCUGCGGCGCUCACCCUGGCUACCCUCCCCUCAUGCUGAAUUCCCAGGUAGUGGAUGAGGCCAUGCCAGCAUCUACCAACCCACGAAGGAACGCCUGGUAUGCAGGCUGGGCACAAACUGAUCCUCUUUGCUGGGGAAUAUUUAUGCAUUCACCCUUAAAAAUUAACAAAGAGAGUGCUGCGAAGUGGGCUAUUUGCUCGAGUCAAGACUGCCAGAUUUGGUCCCAUGGAACUCGAUCUAAAUAAACUGCAGGAAGUGAAUGGGAAAGAAAUCUUGUAUUGUUCCCUCAUUGCUUGAAUUGCUUGAACUGCAUUCAGGUAGUCUGACCUCUGUAAACAUCUGUUAGCAUGCACAGAGCUCAUGUUCCUACAGCCUGCAAAACACAAACGCAAUAUUAAAAGAAUAAAGAUUCUCUCCCUUCUGAAAGUAAGUUUCCA
rnacentral:lncRNA from 1 species